rnacentral:rRNA from 1 species
GAUGAACGCUAGCUACAGGCUUAACACAUGCAAGUCGAGGGGCAGCAUGGUCUUAGCUUGCUAAGGCCGAUGGCGACCGGCGCACGGGUGAGUAACACGUAUCCAACCUGCCGUCUACUCUUGGACAGCCUUCUGAAAGGAAGAUUAAUACAAGAUGGCAUCAUGAGUCCGCAUGUUCACAUGAUUAAAGGUAUUCCGGUAGACGAUGGGGAUGCGUUCCAUUAGAUAGUAGGCGGGGUAACGGCCCACCUAGUCUUCGAUGGAUAGGGGUUCUGAGAGGAAGGUCCCCCACAUUGGAACUGAGACACGGUCCAAACUCCUACGGGAGGCAGCAGUGAGGAAUAUUGGUCAAUGGGCGAGAGCCUGAACCAGCCAAGUAGCGUGAAGGAUGACUGCCCUAUGGGUUGUAAACUUCUUUUAUAAAGGAAUAAAGUCGGGUAUGCAUACCCGUUUGCAUGUACUUUAUGAAUAAGGAUCGGCUAACUCCGUGCCAGCAGCCGCGGUAAUACGGAGGAUCCGAGCGUUAUCCGGAUUUAUUGGGUUUAAAGGGAGCGUAGAUGGAUGUUUAAGUCAGUUGUGAAAGUUUGCGGCUCAACCGUAAAAUUGCAGUUGAUACUGGAUAUCUUGAGUGCAGUUGAGGCAGGCGGAAUUCGUGGUGUAGCGGUGAAAUGCUUAGAUAUCACGAAGAACUCCGAUUGCGAAGGCAGCCUGCUAAGCUGCAACUGACAUUGAGGCUCGAAGGUGUGGGUAUCAAACAGGAUUAGAUACCCUGGUAGUCCACACGGUAAACGAUGAAUACUCGCUGUUUGCGAUAUACAGCAAGCGGCCAAGCGAAAGCGUUAAGUAUUCCACCUGGGGAGUACGCCGGCAACGGUGAAACUCAAAGGAAUUGACGGGGGCCCGCACAAGCGGAGGAACAUGUGGUUUAAUUCGAUGAUACGCGAGGAACCUUACCCGGGCUUAAAUUGCAGAUGAAUUACGGUGAAAGCCGUAAGCCGCAAGGCAUCUGUGAAGGUGCUGCAUGGUUGUCGUCAGCUCGUGCCGUGAGGUGUCGGCUUAAGUGCCAUAACGAGCGCAACCCUUGUUGUCAGUUACUAACAGGUUCCGCUGAGGACUCUGACAAGACUGCCAUCGUAAGAUGUGAGGAAGGUGGGGAUGACGUCAAAUCAGCACGGCCCUUACGUCCGGGGCUACACACGUGUUACAAUGGGGGGUACAGAGGGCCGCUACCACGCGAGUGGAUGCCAAUCCCAAAAACCUCUCUCAGUUCGGACUGGAGUCUGCAACCCGACUCCACGAAGCUGGAUUCGCUAGUAAUCGCGCAUCAGCCACGGCGCGGUGAAUACGUUCCCGGGCCUUGUACACACCGCCCGUCAAGCCAUGGGAGCCGGGGGUACCUGAAGUGCGUAACCGCGAGGAGCGCCCUAGGGUAAAACUGGUGACUGGGGC